GCAGCGGCAGCGGCAGCGGCAGCGUCUGGCUUGCAGAGUCUCGGCCGGCCGAGGGAAGGGACCCUGAAAGGCCCCCAGUGCCCUCUGGCACCCGGGUCAGAUGCCGGCCAGCGAGGGUGCGGAGAGAGAGAGACCUUGAGCAGCGCCAACCGCGUCCUCCGCUCUGCGAGCCCCCUCUGGAGCGGCGGGAAGUACCCUCGGAGCCUCCAUCCCUGGACGUGGAUCCAGGAGAGUCUGGACCUCUGGGGCCCUUGGCAGAGAGCCUGCAUCCUGAGCACGUCUGGACCAGAGGGGGUGAGGUCUGGCCCUACAUCCAUCAACCCAUCAACAGAACCUGGGAGCAUCCUACCCAGGCCCCAGCCGCAGUGUCUUACAAGGAAGGUGACAGCUCGGAAAGCAUCCAGAGAGCAAUGGCCAAGAGGGCAAAGUGUCUGAAAAUGACUGAAAAUGAAGAGUGGUUACAAGAACGAGGGGUCUUCCGCAGAAGAGAAGGGGACGUGAGAGCUGCUGUGAACACUUGA
rnacentral:lncRNA from 1 species